UUUGUUUUGCUACAACAAUUCGAUCUAUGAAAUCCUCAUUUCAAUUAAAUCUUCAAAAAAUAAUAUAUGCAACCCAUGUUGAGAAGCAGGAAUAAUCUAAUCUCAGCAUGUUUUCUGCUAUGCUUCAUGACAUCUCUUUCCCUCGGAAAAGACACACUUUCCAAAGGAGAAUACAUCACAAAGAGCCAAACACUGAUCUCAAAGAUGGAAUCUUUGAAAUGGGAUUCAUCAAACCAUGCUCUCACAACACCAACUUAGGCACAUUUGGUACAAAGACUUCCCAAACAAAACUCUAGUUUGGGUGGCCAACAGUGAGAAGCCAUAUUGCCCCACACUUCCAAGAAUUUCAACCUCAAACUAUCUCCAAAUGGCAACUUAGAAUUGCACAAUGACCUUGAUCUCUUCUGGUCCACAAGUUUGAUCCCAACUCUAGCACAAACUGUUGAAGCAAGUGCUUCUUGAUAAUGGGAAUCUCAUGUUAAGAGAUGCAUCAAAGCCAAGUAGAGUAUUUUGGCAGAGUUUUGAUCAGCCUACUCAUGCUUGGCUAGCUGGAGCUGCAGUUGGCAGAGGGAAGCGCCUUGUCUCUUGGAAAAGCUCUUGUGAUCCUUCUGAGGGGCCCUUUUCCAUGGAGAUGGCUGCUGAAAAUCAUCGUUCUUUCGUGUUGAAGAAGGAGAUGUCAAGUGUGUAUUGGAAUGUGAAUGUGUUUCACUCAGCUCCUCAGCUUAGCUACUUUUACAAUUUCAGUUUCCAUUCAUAUGAGAAUGGGAGUUACAUGAAAUAUGAUGUGCUGAAUCCUCAUGUGUUAUCCAUGGUUGUGUUGGAUUCAUCAGGAAAUCUGAUGCAGUUUGUUUCUCUCAGAAGCAAGCGCAAUUGGACCACCGAGUUUGAGCUGCCUAAAGAGGUUUAUGACUUGUGUGCAGAUUGUGGGAAAAAAGGUUAGGGGUGUUUACUACUUAAUAUCACCGAUUUAUAUGCGCGUGUGUGCUUUUUAUGUGGGAUCGUAAGAAAAUACUGGAGGUGAUCAUUGCAGUGGUUUGUUUUCUCUGGUGGCGCUCUGCGCUGCUUUUACACAAGGAGGAACAGGCACAAAGAAGGCAAGGAACAUGGAGAUGAUCUUUUGUCGUACGAUUUCGACCUAAAUGUGGAGCACCAGCCAUCCUAUGAUGCAACAAGGGAAAACAACACACAAUUUGAUCUGCCCAUGUUUACUUAUUCAAGUGUUUCUGCAGCAACUAAUAACUUCUCACCAGAAAAAAAGCUUGGAGAGGGAGGAUUUGGACCAGUUUACAAGGGCAAAUUACUGAAUGGACUAGAAGUUGCCCUAAAGAGGCUCUCCAAGAAAUCCGGACAAGGCUUCGAGGAAUUCAGAUAUGAUAUCUUGCUUAUCGCAAAACUCCAGCACAGAAACCUUGUUCACCACUUAGGCUGCUGCACUGCCCCAGAUGAGAGCAUACUCAUCUAUGAGUACAUGCCUAAUAAGAGCCUUGACUUAUUCCUUUUUGGAUUAAUAAAUUAGAUUGGGCUACACGCGUUGGCAUUAUUGAAGGGAUUGCUCAAGGGUUACUCUAUCUCCAUGAGCACUCAAGGGUUUGUGUCAUCCAUAGAGAUUUGAAGGCGAGUAACAUUCUCCUAGAUGGUGAGAUGGUCCCCAAGAUUGCGGAUUUUGGCCUGGCCCGUAUCUUGAGGCAAUGAUUCGCGGACUCAAACGAAUAAGAUUGUUGGAACAUAAUAAGAUAACUCUUACAACUAUAUAUGUAGCCAUUGCAAGAAAACUGAUGUGGAUUUGGUUGUCUGGAAAUGUUAGUGGCUACAUGGCUCCUGAGUAUGCAUUGGAAGGCCUAUUCUCCAUAAAGUCAGAUGUGUUCAGCUUUGGAGUGUUGGUUCUUGAGAUUAUAAGUGGCAAGAAGAACACUGGCUUCUACCAAACUCACUCUCUCAAUCUUCUU